AAUAUAAAGAGGUUCAACUAUUAGAUUAUCACAUGAUUCUUUCAUCCAAAAAAAUCAAAGGAAAGAGGUAUUUAAAGAUGUACAAUUCCUACAACUAUACAACGACUAACAUAGUUAUUUUUUGAAUGAGUAGCUAGAAGGCCAUCAAGGAAGACAAGUUUAAGUUGAUCGAUAAGAGAUAUAUUAGGUGCACCAGGAGUAAACACUUUAGUAGAGCAUGGUCUCCUGUAACUCCUUCUUCAUCAUCAUCUAUUGAUCAAAGUUCUGCGAGAUGGAAUUUUCAGUCAGGAACAUCAAUGGCAUGGCCUCAUGUGGCAGGUGUUGGAGCCUUAUCAAAUCAUCUCAUCCAAAUUGGACCACUGCUGCCAUUAGGUCUGCUCUCAUGAUCCAGGUGACCCAAAAAACAAAAGCACAUGCAAAUAGGAAAAAUGUUAGGUGUGAGACCCCACACACAGAUAUAAAUAACAGCAAGUACUGUGGACACAACAAUGGACACUAUAAUUGCUGGUGGAUCCAUCAACUUAGCUCAUCCCUUUGACAUGGGUGCUGCCUACAUAAAUAAACAAUUUAAAAGCACUUGAUCCUAUGCAAUUUAGGCUUCACAAGAUAACAAAUUAGCAACAUCAUUAAUCUUCCUUCUCAGGAAAUUACAAGUUGCAAUGACUUAGCAACUAAAUCACCCAUUAAUCACAUUUUCAAAUCUUGACUAUGCAGUGACCAUAAAAAAUGACAGUUAGGGAUGAUAAUAAGUAUGAUUUACUUUGAAAUUCCCCGUGCGUAAACUCAAACCCUCAUAGGCACAAAUCUUUGUACCCAUAUUCUUAUUUUUCUGAGUAUCCAUACCAGCAUUUAGGGCUUACACCACUGGAUAGUGAUGUUGGUCGAAACAAAAAUGUUAUAUAUUUUAUUACUAGCAUCGUUGAACCAUGUGGAGUGGAAAUAGUGGUAUGGCCCAAGGUUGAAAGGAAGAACACUCAUAUAGGAGUCCUUUGGCUGCGCGUGUUAAUACUUGUUAUGUUUCCAGUCACUACUCUUACUAGUACAAGUUUCAUGCACCAUGCA